rnacentral:lncRNA from 1 species
UGUGGGAGAAAAAGGAGAAGGAAGCGGAAGGGGAAGAAGAGAGUCUGGCCCAGUGGUGUAGCAGUUAAGGUCACAUGCCCCGCUUUGACAGCCCAGGGUUCGCCGGUUCACGGACCUAGCACUGCUUAUCAAGCCAUGCUGUGGCAGGCGUCCCACAUAUAAAAUAGAGGAAGGAUUGGCAGUGGAUGUUAGCUCAUAGCUAAUCUUCCUCAAAAAAGAAAAAAAGGGGGUAGGGGAAGAAGAAAGAGAAGAGGAAGAAAGCAAGGAAGGGAAAGAGGUGGGGGGAGAGAAAGAGAAGUCUUGGCAAGCUGUGUUAAAAAGCAUCUUAAUUUUUGCCCUUUGCUAGGGGAAGAGUGCUUAUAAGCAUGCUUUGAGGAUCACCUGCAUCUGAAUCCCUUGGGGCAUUUUCUAAAAAUGCCGAUUCCUGGCCCUCAACCUACUGAAUGGCCAUCUCUGGGGCGAGGCCUGCGGUUCCACAUUUGAGCGGGUCCUGCCAAGUUGAGAACGUUACUGAAACAAGUGGCCCCCAGAAGUCGUCCUGGAAAUAAGGAGAUGGAGGGGACUGCUUUUUGUGGAGAAAAGUUUCUUUGGUGCUCGUGCUAAGGCCUGGCCUGGACAUCUGCAGUUUUGAAGAAAGAGCUCAAUCCUUCUGCAUAGCGGAGGGUAAGUGUGCCCUCCCGGGGUUGCUGGGAUGUUCACUGAUUUGGGGCUUCUUCUGUGGACACUGGGAAUCCAGGGAUCUUGAGGGUCCCUGGGCCUGGGGGGAGGGCAAAUUGAAACGAGGCUGAGAUCUGCGAGGAAGGAGCUUGCUGAACGCCGGGCAGGUAGGCCAAGGAGAAAGUUGGACAGGAAGGGGCUCCAGGUGACGGUGUGUGGCCAACAUGGUGCUUUGAGAUUAAAGUUUUCCUCCUUGUGUUGUCCAGUCUAUGGCAUUUUCGAGUUUUUAGGAAAGCCUGUGACUUUAGCUACUCAGGUUUGGGUGCUUCUGGGAUGUGAAGCAGAGGAUCAAGUGGCACGACAUGAAUCAGGAGUAAUGAGACGAAGAGGAGCUGUGGGUGGGCCACAGAAAGUACAGUUUGGAUCCAGUGGUGACCAGUCCCAACCAGAAGGUGCAAGCACUCAGAAGUUCACGGGAGUGAACCAGAAUCCCCGUCAUCCCAGAGAGAGGCCAUCUAAUUGCUGGCAAGUUUCAGCUUGACUCACCAAGGAAUUUGAACUCCAACACUCUGAGACAGUCACAUUCAGCUCUGGAUGAAUGGUUCCCGGAAGUAGGAUUUCCCAAGAAGGUAUUGGGAGAGGAAAAGCAUGCCCCUCGGUUCCAAGUCAAUCCCUUUCCCAAAUCCCCUCUCUCUCCUGACACUGCAAGCUCAUCACAUUUUCUACGCCAACCCACUCUCUUUUAGGGAUUUUUUUCUUUGUUGUUGCUGUUUAUCUUUUUCUGGUCAUAAAAUGUAUGCUAAUGCUAAAUUGACAGUGUAGGAAAUUAUAAAAACAGUUGCUCGUGGUCUAUGCACUUCUUUUUAAUUUAGUAAAGGUUAUAUUGUAUAUGUAAUUUUGAGUCCUUCUUUUCCCACAUUUCUUUCUAGGUUUAUUCCUGGGUAGUUAAUGGCAUUGUUGCUAUUUUGAAUGCAAUCUUU